UCACACUACAUUCAAUGAUCUUCAAGUAUAUGUGGGACUCGCUCGGUGAUUGGAGGAUCAUAUAUUAAUGCUACAAAUAAUAUGGAAGCAAAUGGUAGAGUGUGAGAAUGACAGCACAGGGAGGGAGAGGGGGAGGGGACAAAGGGAGAGGUGAUUGAAGAUAAGGCAAAGUAAUAAGGAAUCCAACAAGAGCAAUUUAUUGCAGACAGCAAGGACUAGAGGCCUCAAUUUCUUUAGACCAAAAAGUUGCUGUAAACUUGAAAAAGUUCUAAGUCAUGCCAAUUCACGUGGUGCGCAGUGUGUUGUGCUAGUUGAUACAUAACUAAAACCAGCUUUCAUUUGCUACUACCCUAUCCAACUAUCUC